GCUAGCAUGGCAUAAUGGUUUGAGUGUUGGACUAAAACUCCAGGAGACCAGGGUUCAAAUCCCUCCUCAUCCA